rnacentral:tRNA from 1 species
AGAAAUGUAUAUUUUCGGGGACUCAUAAUCCCUUGGUCGAUGGUUCGAGUCCAGCCAGACCCACCA